UCCUACGGGAGGCAGCAGUGGGGAAUAUUGGACAACGGGCGGAAGCCUGAUCCAGCCAUGCCGCGUGUGUGAAGAAGGCCUUAGGGUUGUAAAGCACUUUCAGGGGUGAGGAAGGGUAGCUAGUUAAUACCUAGUUAUCUUGACGUUAGCCCCAGAAGAAGCACCGGCUAACUCUGUGCCAGCAGCCGCGGUAAUA
rnacentral:rRNA from 1 species